rnacentral:tmRNA from 1 species
GGGGGCGAAACGGUUUCGACGUGGGUUGUGACGCGAUUGAUGGCACGACCGCCGGCCCGUAACGGCGUAAAUACUGCGGGAACCAAGAGAAGCGAACGAUAAUGACGUUCCCUUCGCCGUCGCGGCCUAAGAACCCGUGACGCCGUGCUCCGACGAGCCUGCCAGUGCUUAUCGGAGUGCGUAAAUGAACUCGGCUGGCUUCACAUCAGGGUGCCCUGGAUGUGCGGCGAGAUUCAGGGGGCGCUGGUUGGGUGG